AGUGAACGCUGGCGGUAGGCCUAACACAUGCAAGUCGAACGGCAGCACAGUAAGAGCUUGCUCUUACGGGUGGCGAGUGGCGGACGGGUGAGGAAUACUUCGGAAUCUACUUUUUCGUGGGGGAUAACGUAGGGAAACUUACGCUAAUACCGCAUACGACCUACGGGUGAAAGCAGGGGAUCUUCGGACUUUGCGCGAUUGAAUGAGCCUAUGUCGGAUUAGCUAGUUGGCGGGGUAAAGGCCCACCAAGGCGACGAUCCGUAGCUGGUCUGAGAGGAUGAACAGCCACACUGGAAGUGAGACACGGUACAGACUCCGAGGGGAGGCAGCAGUGGGGAAUAUUGGACGAUGGGCGCAAGCCUGAUCCAGCCAAACCGCGUGGAUGAAGAAGGCCUUCGGGUUGUAAAGCGCUUUUGUUGGGAAAGAAAAGCAGCAGGUUAAGACCCCGCUGUUCUGACGGUACCAAAAGAAUAAGCACCGGCUAACUUCGUG
rnacentral:rRNA from 1 species